rnacentral:rRNA from 2 species
CGAGCGAUGAAACUUUAACAGAACCCUUCGGGGCGAAGAUAGAGCGGAUUAGCGGCGGACGGGUGAGUAACACGUGAGUAACCUGCCUUAGACAUUGGGAUAGCCUCGGGAAACCGGGAUUAAUACCAAAUAAAAUCAUAAUGACACAUGUCAUAACGAUCAAAACUCCGGUGGUCUAAGAUGGACUCGCGUCCCAUUAGCUAGUUGGUAGAGUAAAAGCCUACCAAGGCGACGAUGGGUAGCCGGCCUGAGAGGGUGAACGGCCACAUUGGAACUGAGAAACGGUCCAAACUCCUACGGGAGGCAGCACUGGGGAAUAUUGCACAAUGGAGGGAACUCUGAUGCAGCGACGCCGCGUGAACGAAGAAGGCUUUCGAGUCGUAAAGUUCUUUUAUAUGGGAAGAUAAUGACGGUACCAUAAGAAAAAGCCCCGGCUAACUACGUGCCAGCAGCCGCGGUAAUACGUAGGGGGCUAGCGUUGUCCGGAAUCACUGGGCGUAAAGGGUUCGCAGGCGGAAAUGCAAGUCAGAUGUAAAAGGCAGUAGCUUAACUACUGUAAGCAUUUGAAACUGCAUAUCUUGAGAAGAGUAGAGGUAAGUGGAAUUUUUAGUGUAGCGGUGAAAUGCGUAGAUGUUAAAAAGAAUACCGGUGGCGAAGGCGAC